ACCUUCGGGCCUCUUGCCAUCAGAUGUGCCCAGAUGGGAUUAGCUUGUUGGUGAGGUAACGGCUCACCAAGGCGACGAUCCCUAGCUGGUCUGAGAGGAUGACCAGCCACACUGGAACUGAGACACGGUCCAGACUCCUACGGGAGGCAGCAGUGGGGAAUAUUGCACAAUGGGCGCAAGCCUGAUGCAGCCAUGCCGCGUGUAUGAAGAAGGCCUUCGGGUUGUAAAGUACUUUCAGCGGGGAGGAAGGUGUUGUGGUUAAUAACCGCAGCAAUUGACGUUACCCGCAGAAGAAGCACCGGCUAACUCCGUGCCAGCAGCCGCGGUAAUACGGAGGGUGCAAGCGUUAAUCGGAAUUACUGGGCGUAAAGCGCACGCAGGCGGUCUGUCAAGUCGGAUGUGAAAUCCCCGGGCUCAACCUGGGAACUGCAUUCGAAACUGGCAGGCU
rnacentral:rRNA from 2 species